rnacentral:rRNA from 1 species
GACGAACGCUGGCGGCGCGCCUAACACAUGCAAGUCGAACGAGAGAUGAGGAGCUUGCUCUUCAAAUCGAGUGGCGAACGGGUGAGUAACGCGUGAGGAACCUGCCUCAAAGAGGGGGACAACAGUUGGAAACGACUGCUAAUACCGCAUAAGCCCACGGCUCGGCAUCGAGCAGAGGGAAAAGGAGCAAUCCGCUUUGAGAUGGCCUCGCGUCCGAUUAGCUAGUUGGUGAGGUAACGGCCCACCAAGGCGACGAUCGGUAGCCGGACUGAGAGGUUGAACGGCCACAUUGGGACUGAGACACGGCCCAGACUCCUACGGGAGGCAGCAGUGGGGAAUAUUGCACAAUGGGGGAAACCCUGAUGCAGCGACGCCGCGUGGAGGAGGAAGGUCUUCGGAUUGUAAACUCCUGUUGUUGAGGAAGAUAAUGACGGUACUCAACAAGGAAGUGACGGCUAACUACGUGCCAGCAGCCGCGGUAAAACGUAGGUCACAAGCGUUGUCCGGAAUUACUGGGUGUAAAGGGAGCGCAGGCGGGAGAACAAGUUGGAAGUGAAAUCCAUGGGCUCAACCCAUGAACUGCUUUCAAAACUGUUUUUCUUGAGUAGUGCAGAGGUAGGCGGAAUUCCCGGUGUAGCGGUGGAAUGCGUAGAUAUCGGGAGGAACACCAGUGGCGAAGGCGGCCUACUGGGCACCAACUGACGCUGAGGCUCGAAAGUGUGGGUAGCAAACAGGAUUAGAUACCCUGGUAGUCCACACCGUAAACGAUGAUUACUAGGUGUUGGAGGAUUGACCCCUUCAGUGCCGCAGUUAACACAAUAAGUAAUCCACCUGGGGAGUACGACCGCAAGGUUGAAACUCAAAGGAAUUGACGGGGGCCCGCACAAGCAGUGGAGUAUGUGGUUUAAUUCGACGCAACGCGAAGAACCUUACCAAGUCUUGACAUCCCUUGACGAUGCUGGAAACAGUAUUUCUCUUCGGAGCAAGGAGACAGGUGGUGCAUGGUUGUCGUCAGCUCGUGUCGUGAGAUGUUGGGUUAAGUCCCGCAACGAGCGCAACCCUUAUGGUCAGUUACUACGCAAGAGGACUCUGGCCAGACUGCCGUUGACAAAACGGAGGAAGGUGGGGAUGACGUCAAAUCAUCAUGCCCUUUAUGACUUGGGCCACACACGUACUACAAUGGCGUUAAACAAAGAGAAGCAAGACCGCGAGGUGGAGCAAAACUCAGAAACAACGUCCCAGUUCGGACUGCAGGCUGCAACUCGCCUGCACGAAGUCGGAAUUGCUAGUAAUCGUGGAUCAGCAUGCCACGGUGAAUACGUUCCCGGGCCUU